GACGAACGCUGGCGGCGUGCUUAACACAUGCAAGUCGAACGGAAAAGCCCUGCUUUUGUGGGGGGGUCGAGUGGCGAACGGAAGAGGAACACGAGAGGAGCCUGCCCUGGACUUUGGGAUAACUUAAGGAAACGGGGGCGAAGACAGGAUAGGAGAUCCUGGGGCAGGGGGGGGGUUGGAAAGGGUAGGCGGUUGGGGAUGGUCGCGAGGCUUAUCAGCUUGUUGGUGGGGUAGGGGCUGACCACGGCUUUGACGGGGAGCCGGCCUGAGAGGGUGACCGGCCCCACUGGGACUGAGAUACGGCCCAGACUCCUACGGGAGGCAGCAGUGGGGAAUAUUGCACAAUGGGCGGAAGCCUGAUGCAGCAACGCCGCGUGCGGGAUGACGGCCUUCGGGUUGUAAACCGCUUUCGCCUGUGACGAAGCGUGAUUGACGGUAAUGGGUAAAGAAGCACCGGCUAACUACGUG
rnacentral:rRNA from 1 species